CCUACGGGGGGCAGCAGUGGGGAAUAUUGGGCAAUGGGCGCAAGCCUGACCCAGCAACGCCGCGUGAAGGAAGAAGGCUUUCGGGUUGUAAACUUCUUUUCUGAGGGACGAAGAAAGUGACGGUACCUCAGGAAUAAGCCACGGCUAACUACGGGCCAGCAGCCGCGGUAAUACGUAGGUGGCAAGCGUUAUCCGGAUUUAUUGGGUGGAAAGGGCGUGUAGGCGGGAAAGCAAGGCAGAUGUGAAAACUCAGGGCUCAACCCUGGGACUGCAUUUGAGACUGGUUAUCUUGAGUGCUGGAGAGGCAAUCAGAAUUCCGUGUGUAGCGGUGAAAUGCGUAGAUAUACGGAGGAACACCAGUGGCGAAGGCGGAUUGCUGGACAGUAACUGACGCUGAGGCGCGAAAGCGUGGGGAGCAAACAGGAUUAGAUACCCUUGUAGUC
rnacentral:rRNA from 1 species